UAUUGUGAGACCUCCGGCUACAACACAGGACAUGGGAGCUUUUCUGAACCCUCGUGUCUUGUGUUGCAGCCAGAGGGGCACA
rnacentral:miRNA from 1 species